UACAGAGGGUGCAAGCGUUAAUCGGAAUUACUGGGCGUAAAGCGUGCGUAGACGGUUAUGUAAGUUAGGUGUGAAAGCCCCGGGCUCAACCUGGGAAUUGCAUUUAAGACUGCAUAGCUAGGGUGCGGAAGAGGGAAGCGGAAUUUCCGGUGUAGCGGUGAAAUGCGUAGAUAUCGGGAGGAACAUCAGUGGCGAAAGCGGCUUCCUGGUCCAGCACCGACGUUCAGGCACGAAAGCGUGGGGAGCAAACAGG
rnacentral:rRNA from 1 species